CGGAACGAGUUAUCUGAACCUUCGGGGAACGAUAACGGCGUCGAGCGGCGGACGGGUGAGUAAUGCCUAGGAAAUUGCCCUGAUGUGGGGGAUAACCAUUGGAAACGAUGGCUAAUACCGCAUGAUGCCUACGGGCCAAAGAGGGGGACCUUCGGGCCUCUCGCGUCAGGAUAUGCCUAGGUGGGAUUAGCUAGUUGGUGAGGUAAGGGCUCACCAAGGCGACGAUCCCUAGCUGGUCUGAGAGGAUGAUCAGCCACACUGGAACUGAGACACGGUCCAGACUCCUACGGGAGGCAGCAGUGGGGAAUAUUGCACAAUGGGCGCAAGCCUGAUGCAGCCAUGCCGCGUGUAUGAAGAAGGCCUUCGGGUUGUAAAGUACUUUCAGUCGUGAGGAAGGCGGUGUCGUUAAUAGCGGCGUUGUUUGACGUUAGCGACAGAAGAAGCACCGGCUAACUCCGUGCCAGCAGCCGCGGUAAUACGGAGGGUGCGAGCGUUAAUCGGAAUUACUGGGCGUAAAGCGCAUGCAGGUGGUUUGUUAAGUCAGAUGUGAAAGCCCGGGGCUCAACCUCGGAAUAGCAUUUGAAACUGGCAGACUAGAGUACUGUAGAGGGGGGUAGAAUUUCAGGUGUAGCGGUGAAAUGCGUAGAGAUCUGAAGGAAUACCGGUGGCGAAGGCGGCCCCCU
rnacentral:rRNA from 1 species